rnacentral:rRNA from 1 species
CAGUCGCCACGGUAAUACGUAGGGUGCGAGCGUUAAUCGGAAAUACUGGGCGUAAAGCGUGCGCAGGCGGUUAUAUAAGACAGAUGUGAAAUCCCCGGGCUCAACCUGGGACCUGCAUUUGAGACUGUAUAGCCAGAGUACGGUAGAGGGGGAUGGAAUUCCGCGUGUAGCAGUGAAAUACGUAGAUAUGCGGAGGAACACCGAUGGCGAAGGCAAUCCCCUGGACCUGUACUGACGCUAAUGCACGAAAGCGUGGGGAGCAAACAGGAUUAGAUACCCCAGUAGUCCCUGUCUCUUAUAC